rnacentral:ncRNA from 1 species
UUUGACUCAACACGGGGAAACUCACCAGGUCCAGACAAAAUAAGGAUUGACAGAUUGAGAGCUCUUUCUUGAUCUUUUGGAUGGUGGUGCAUGGCCGUUCUUAGUUGGUGGAGUGAUUUGUCUGCUUAAUUGCGAUAACGAACGAGACCUCGGCCCUUAAAUAGCCCGGUCCGCAUCUGCGGGCCGGUUUCUAAGAAAAGACUGCAUGCAAGCUUCCCGAGGCAUGUCCGAUACCUCAGGCUACUUUCACGGG